rnacentral:rRNA from 1 species
AUUGAACGCUGGCGGCAGGCCUAACACAUGCAAUUCGAGCGAGCGGCGGACGGGUGAGUAAUGUCUGGGAAAAUGCCUGAUGGGGGGGGAUAACUACUGGAAACGGUAGCUAAUACCGCAUACGAUCAGAUGUGCCUCGAUGGGAUUGGCUGGUGGGUGGGGUAACGGCUAACCUAGGCGCCGAUCCCUAGCUGGUCUGAGAGGAUGACCAGACACACUGGAACUGAGACACGGUCCAGACUCCUACGGUAGGCAGCAGUGGGGAAUAUUGCACAAUGGGCGCAAGCCGGAUGCAGCCAUGCCGCGUGUGUGAAGAAGGCCUUCGGGUUGGAAAGCACUUUCAGCGGGGAGGCGUUACCCGCAGAAGAAGCACCGGCUAACUCCGUGCCAGCAGCCGCGGUAAUUC